CUUCACCGACCCCAGCCACAGGGGCCGCUCCGCGGGGCGCUCGCUGCCGUAGGCGGCCAGCAGCGCCUGGGCCUC
rnacentral:antisense_RNA from 1 species